GGAAAGACAUGAUCAACAGCUAAACUACAAGUCACUGUAGAUGGCAUUAAGUUUGGUAAAGGUGCUCUUAGGGACGGUGUCUGGGGAGACCCACUGCACAGAAAGGCCUUCUUGGGGAGGUAAAGCCAAAGGCCCAAGACAUGAUAAACAGCCUUCUGGGCUUGCAGAACCAGCUGGGAAGAUGAGGGCACAGACUCAGGAGGAGGAAGAUGAGGGCACAGACUCAGGAGGAGGGUUUGGCAUGUUCCAGAGAGAAGAAAACUCCCAGUACUGCCUAACGGAGAAUGGUCUUCCAACGUUGAUGAGGGGUCAUCUGCAUUACUUGGCACAUUCACUGUGACAUGGGCAGUAUGGAAGCCAAGGCUUGCUGUCUAAUAAAGACAUUCCCAAGACUUUAACA
rnacentral:lncRNA from 1 species